GAGAUUCUGAAGUGAGUUCUGGGUUCUAAGCCAACAGCCUAAAUACUUUAGGUCCAUUAUUUAGGUCCAAGUUCAACCACUAGACCUGUACUUCGCAAGCCUUCAGAGGAUUCCUGCUUUCAGCCCGCAAGCUUUUUCAGCUGAAGCCCCCAGUAUCAUGGAACAGAAUCAGAUUAUUUCCACUGAGUCCUUUUCAAUUUCUUAACCCACAGGAUUUAUGAGCAUUAUGAAGUCAUUAUGGCUUUCUGCCACUAGGCUGAGAGUGGACCACAUAUACAGAAAUAAAAAACUAUUAAUAGAAAAAUAUAUUGCAAACAUCUAAUCCUCAAACCCCAUUCAAGUUUUGCCAACUACCCUCCAUCCUAUCAAAUAUUCCUUAUACCAAAAAGAUCCAGUUCAAAAAUAAGUGUUGCAUUUAUUUUUUAACCUCUUUUGAUCUGGAAUAGCUCCUCACACCGUCUUUCAUGACUUUAGUGCUUUGGAAGACUACAGAUGUUUAGGCUCAUCUGAAAUUUCCCUGCCGUCACCUGGGAAUCAACCAUUUCUUCAGGGAGUCCUAGUUUCUUUUAGCGGUCAAGUCUGCAUUCUGGGAUAAAGUGUUGACACAAUCUUGAAUCAGUGCCUAAGGAGUUCACAAGUCCAGAGAGGGGAUAGCGCAUAGAGAAGAUAAAGCAGAUGUCCAUCCAAAGACUUGUAUGUGAAUGUUCAUAGCAACUUUAUUUGUAAUAGCCAAAACCUGAAAGCAACCCAAAUGUAUGUUAAGAAGCGAAUGGAUACAUAAAUUGUGGCAUAUGCAUACAAUGGGAUACCCAGCAAUAAAAAGGAAUGAACUAUUCAAGUAGGCAACAAAAGAUAAGAGAGCUGAAGAAGAGUGAAAAUAAAGAAACUUCUGCAAAGCCACACAUGUAUUUAAGAUAACUACAUCUUCACAGACCAGCAUUUCUG
rnacentral:lncRNA from 10 species